rnacentral:rRNA from 1 species
AGGAUGAACGCUAGCGGCAGGCUUAAUACAUGCAAGUCGAGGGGCAGCGGGGGUAGCAAUACCUGCCGGCGACCGGCAAACGGGUGCGGAACACGUACACAACUUUCCUUUAAGUGGGGGAUAGCCCAGAGAAAUUUGGAUUAAUACCCCGUAACAUUAUGAGAUGGCAUCAUUUUAUAAUUAAAGCUCCGGCGCUUAAAGAUGGGUGUGCGGCUGAUUAGGUAGUUGGCGGGUAACGCCCACAAGCCUUCGAUCAGUAACUGGUGUGAGAGCACGACCAGUCACGACGGGCACUGAGACACGGGCCCGACUCCGUACGGGAGCAGCAAGGUAAGGAAUAGUUGGUACAAGUGGGACGCAAAGUCUAGGAAACCCAGCCCAAUGCCCGCGUAGAAGGAUAGGAAGGUUCCCUCGUGGUAA